UGCUAAAUCAAAAGUUGAAUGCAUUUACUUAGACCUAAUCAAUUUGAGUUAACGUGUUUGUCAUGACAUGAAGUUUUUGCUAAGAAAUUGAUUACCUUUAGACAAAAAGAAGCAUGAAAGCACCAUGUGUGCAUGUGAGGGUAGUGAGCUAAAAUCACCGAGAGAUAAGAUUUGUUUGCUUGCUUGGUUAUCUAAACUUUAAGCUUUAUGCAUUUAGGAGCAAAUGAUUUAGACCUAUUUGGUAAUUGAAUUUGUCCCUAGGUAGUUAACUCUAGACUUAUCUGGUUGGAGUUAAUAUAAUCAAAGGAGUUUAGGCCUUAGUAGUCUUAUGCGGAUGCUAAGAGGGUAAUUGGACAAUAGGUUUAGCAUCAUUCAUAUUCAAUAUAUUGCAUUGUUGCAUCAAUAGAGGUUAGUGGUAGACAAUCCAAACCUCAACUCCCAUCCCUGUUUCUAUAACCUUAGCUUAACUAGUCUUAGUCUACUUUCCUUGCAUUUAGUUUAGUCAAUCAACCAAUCACUCAAACAAACAAACAUUCACUAUUAGGGGUGGGUUCGCGAAAUCGAAAACCGAGCCGAAAGCCGAACCGAAGCCGAAAAACACCGAACCAAAAAAAAACCGCACCAAAAUAAAAAAAAAAACCGAACUGAACCGAACCGGUUCGGUUCAAUUUUCAGUUUCAGCAUGUAAAAAACCGAACCAAACCGGUCAAGUUUUGACGUUUUGACUUUUAAGUAACUAUCCGGGUAUCCGCGAUUCAGUUUCUCUCUUUCUUCUCUGCUGUUUCUUUCUUCUCUCAUUUCAUUGUGCUUCCACCAAACAAAACACCAACGAAUUCAGUUCUCUAUCUCAUUUCUUCUUCGCAGUCUCACUCAAUCCCGUGGAUUUCGACUAUGGCAUUCCCCGAGAGGUCUCCGACGUUCAGAAGCUCCGAUCUCAAUAGCAGCCGGAGCUUCCUCCUUUCCUUCUCGAUCCAGUUAUCAUUAGAUUUGUUGUAAAGAUCCAAAGAUAGGGGGCUCCAAGUUUGUUAAUGAGAUGGGGAACAAUCAUCUAGCAGCACUUAGCAAUAUCACCAAUUUCAAAAGAAAGGCUUUUCUAGGGAAUGAUGCGGCUGGUGAUAGAAAACUGUCAGUUCUGUUAAUCUGGGCCAUAGACCCAUAUCAAGGAGGUUUGUUGUAUAUGGUGAAGAUCUGAACACUCUUUUGCUGUAUAAAAGUUUAAUCCAUUGCUGCAAGCUGCUCUUGGUAUGGAGAAGUUGCCCUGGGAGAGAUCCACGAGCUCAAGUAGUGAAGUUUGUGUUUACAUGGUAGAAAAGUGAUUUGCUCCUUUUUGGUGGUUCUUUCAGUUCUGUAUAUGGUUAAUGGGUUGCUCUUUUAAUUUUGUUUUUAGUUUAUAUUAAAGAAGGCUCCAAUGGCCUUUAUUAUUUUUGA